GUAAGAAUUGUUUAAUAAAAUAUAUUUUUAAUUAAGUACAUAAUAUUCAAUCAGUAAUAAAUUUUUUCAUUUCAG
rnacentral:misc_RNA from 1 species